GACGUAGGGAGCGAGCGUUGUCCGGAUUCAUUGGGCGUAAAGGGUCCGUAGGCGGCUCAGCAAGUCAGGUGUGAAAUCUCCAGGCUCAACCUGGAGGGGCCACCUGAUACUGCUGUGGCUUGAGUCCAGUAGGGGAGCAUGGAAUUCCCGGUGUAGCGGUGAAAUGCGCAGAUAUCGGGAGGAACACCAGUGGCGAAGGCGGUGCUCUGGGCUGGAAAUGACGCUGAUGGACGAAAGCGUGGGUAGCAAACAGG
rnacentral:rRNA from 1 species